GCGCAUUCCCUCCGAACUCCAGACGGAGCUCCCUCCGAAGAGGUGUCUGUAGAGUUUGUUACUUACGGUGCUGAAGAUUACCUUGAAAAAUCUGAUGAUGAGCUCCUUGUCGCUUUUGAGACGAUGGUCAAACCCAUGCGUUUCGGGCAACUGUGGUGUCCUGCGUUUAAUAAAUGUUCUUUUAUUUCCAGCGUUGCUAUGGC
rnacentral:misc_RNA from 1 species